AUUAAGCGCAGCUGUGUGAGUUUCAGUGACUAACGUUUGAUCGUCCGUCUUAUUUAAAUUUUUUUAUGAUUAUUAUUUUUAUUGUUAUUAGAUGAUAAAAUUUGAAUAGUACUUUAUGCAUGACUUAAAUUUUAAAACUUUUUAUAAAAUUUUUAAAUAAAAUGGACGGUCAAACGUUGGACAUAGGACAUAGUUCUAAAACUAUGGCUGCAUUUAUA
rfam:Oryza glumipatula chromosome 5, whole genome shotgun sequence.